rnacentral:rRNA from 1 species
GACGAACGCUGGCGGCGUGCUUAAUACAUGCAAGUCGAACGCAAAGGCCCUGCCUUGGUGGGCUGCUCGAGUGGCGAACGGGUGAGUAACACGUGAGUAACCUGCCCUUGACCUUGGGAUAACUUCAGGAAACUGGGGCUAAUACCGGAUAGGAGCACCUGUUGCAUGGCGGGGGCUGGAAAGUUUCGGUGGUUGGGGUUGGACAUGCGGCUUAUCAGCUUGAUGGUGGGGUAGUGGCAUAGCAAGGCUUUGGCGGGUAGCCGGCCUGGGAGGGUGACCGGCCACAUUGGGACUGGGGUAGGGCCCGGAGUGCUACGGGAGGCAGCGGUGGGAGAUAUUGCACAAUGGGCGGAGGCCUGAUGCAGGAACGCCGCGUGCGAGAGGACGGCCUUCGGGUUGGAAACCGCUUUCGCCUGUAACGAAGCGUGAGUGACGGUAAUUGGUAAAGAAGCACCGGCUAACUACGUG